rnacentral:lncRNA from 1 species
AGCCAAGCUUAUAAAAUAGAAAUCAUGCAUCACAAUUAUGUCACAAUUAUAGGAUGAUAUUUUUCAUGGUAGAGCAGGCACAAUAUAAAAUAUCAGAUAUCAUAUACACUAGCAAUUUAUCAAAUUGUAACAUAUCCAUAACAACAAGAGAGCAUAACAAAAUCAACAGACACAACCCACUCUCUAGUCCUAUUCAUUAAGCGACUCCCAUAUCUCGCAAAUCGAUCAUAUAACUCAAGUAAAUCAUAUAUCUCAGGUCAAUCUCAUAACUCAGGUCAAUCACACAUCUCAAGUCAAUUACAUAACUCAGGCGACUACCCAUCUUGGGUAAUGCAAUUUUCAAAAGGCACUGCCGAGAAGUCACAUAUUUCCUCGUACGCACCUCACUGGUGUCAGUCAUGGCCAUGCGAUACGCUCAAAGCAUGUCAAAUAAUCACAUAACAGUCACAGUAUCACAGUAUCCAACUACCAAUGGGUGACCCAUUGCAUAGUGGUCAAUAUCACAUACAUUCACAGUAUGCCAACGGUUACAUAUCACCUCAUACGCACUCAGAAGUCACAUAUUCCAAUACAGUAUACCCCAUUACCAUUGGAGGACCCAUUGCGAGUGGUCAUAUCAUAGAUAUCAGUUUUACAUAUAACAGAGUCAGAAUGCUCACUACCAAUGGAAGACUCAUUGCGUAGCGGUCCCAAAAAUAACAGAAUCACAAUAUUCAUAUAGCAGAAUCAAACCAUAUCAAUGUCACAUAAUGGCCAUAUUAAUAUCACAUAAUAGCAGUAUCAGUAUCACAGAAUAAUAGUAUCCAUAUCACGGAAUAACAAUAUCAGUCUCCCAGAAUACCGGUAUCAGCAUCACAGUUUAACAAAAUCAGAUUCACAGAAUAACAGUGUCCAUAUCACAUAAUAACAGUCUAGAUUCACAAGAUAACGGUGUCCAUAUCACAGAAUGGAUGUUACAGCUGCAAUUUCAAGCCGUGACAUCUGGUCGUAAAUAUGGUCAUAAUUUUUUAUUCAUUUGGAAUUUGAAGACGGUUCCAAAACCAAUUUUACACUAGACACACUAUCUUCAAAUCGGGGUGGAUUGAAAAUAAUUUGAUCUUGUUUGGCCCCUCAAAAGUUCAAAAGAAUGGAGAUAAUUCAUCUAAAAUCUGUUGUACAAUGAAGGCAUUGACAUGUCUUUAAAUUUUACUCCAUAACUCAUAAUCAAGAAGAAAUUCUAAUAAAGUAAUCAACAUGUGAAUUUAAUAUUACUCAUAAACCGUUCAAAUGACAGUGGUUUGAAAAAAAUGGACCCCUUUUGAUCAGUCAAAAUCUAUGGCAACAGAGGCAUAAAUUUUGAGUUUUAUAAAAGUUGUCCAUAGUGAUAUAUUGUUACAAUUAAUCAUAUAACUCUCAAAUUAGGGAGAAUCUCGAAAAGUGCUAAACAUGUGAUCUCAAGCUUACUCAAAAUAUUUCAAACGGCAGUGGUUUGGAAGAAAACGGAUCUUAUUUGGUUGAUCAAAACCCUUAACAUCAGAUACAUCAGUUUUGUGUUUUUACCAAACUAUCCACAGUGAUCUAUUGGCAUGUUUCGAAAUAUAACUUUACAUAAAUAAAGAAUUAGAGCAAGGUGUGAACAUAAACAUUAAAAUAUACUCAGAAAUCUUUCCAAUGGCGGUGAUUUUGUAUCAUUUGGACUCCAAUUGCUAAGUCAAACUCUCAGUAUAACAGAAGUAACAUUCCUAAAAAUUAUCACAGCCUGUUAACAUCGUCAUACAU